rnacentral:rRNA from 1 species
UACGUAGGGUGCAAGCGUUGUCCGGAAUUAUUGGGCGUAAAGAGCUCGUAGGCGGUCUGUCGCGUCUGCUGUGAAAACUCAGGGCUUAACCCUGAGCUUGCAGUGGGUACGGGCAGACUAGAGUGCGGUAGGGGAGACUGGAAUUCCUGGUGUAGCGGCGAAAUGCGCAGAUAUCAGGAGGAACACCGGUGGCGAAGGCGGGUCUCUGGGCCGUAACUGACGCUGAGGAGCGAAAGCAUGGGGAGCGAACAGG